UCCGUAGGUGAACCUGCGGAAGGAUCAUUAAUAAUGCUCUCUGGCUUCGGUCAGUCGAGUUCAAUGAGUGCCUUCUCUUCGGAGUUGGCCAUCCAUACACACCGUGAACUGUGGCUUCGGCCAUCACAAACUGUUAGUAAUGAAUGUAAUAUCAUAACAAAAACAAAACUUUUAACAACGGAUCUCUUGGCUCUCGCAUCGAUGAAGAACACAGCGAAAUGCGACAAGUAAUGUGAAUUGCAGAAUUCAGUGAAUCAUCGAAUCUUUGAACGCACCUUGCGCCCUUUGGCAUUCCGAAGGGCAUGCCUGUUUGAGUGUCAUGAAACCUCACCCCACUUGGGUUUUUGCCUGAGCGGUGGUGUAUUGGGUGUUGCCUUGCCAAAGGCUCGCCUUAAAAACAUAAGCACCUUGGAUGUACUACGUUUCAUCCUUCUGGGUGGCUGAUAACCCCACAUAUUCAUGAUCUGGCCUCAAAUCAGGUAGGGCUACCCGCUGAACUUAAGCAUAUCAAUAAGCGGAGGAAAAGAAACUAACUAGGAUUCCCUUAGUAACGGCGAGUGAACCGGGAUGAGCUCAAAUUUGAGAUCUGGCGUCUUUCAGGCGUCCGAGUUGUAAUCUAUAGAGGCGUUUUCCGCGCUGGACCGUGUACAAGUCUCCUG
rnacentral:rRNA from 1 species